CCUACGGGAGGCAGCAGUGGGGAAUAUUGCACAAUGGGGGAAACCCUGAUGCAGCGACGCCGCGUGAGUGAAGAAGUAUUUCGGUAUGUAAAGCUCUAUCAGCAGGGAAGAAAAUGACGGUACCUGAUUAAGAAGCCCCGGCUAACUACGUGCCAGCAGCCGCGGUAAUACGUAGGGGGCAAGCGUUAUCCGGAUUUACUGGGUGUAAGGGGAGCGGAGACGGCAGCACAAGUCUGGUGUGAAAUGCCGGGGCUUAACCCCGGAACUGCUUUGGAAACUGUGCAGCUAGAGUGCAGGAGAGGUAAGUGGAAUUCCUAGUGUAGCGGUGAAAUGCGUAGAUAUUAGGAGGAACACCAGUGGCGAAGGCGGCUUACUGGACUGUAACUGACGUUGAGGCUCGAAAGCGUGGGGAGCAAACAGGAUUAGAUACCCUUGUAGUC
rnacentral:rRNA from 1 species